rnacentral:rRNA from 1 species
UACGUAGGCAGCAAGCGUUGUUCGGAGUUACUGGGCGUAAAGGGUGUGUAGGCGGUUGGAUAAGUGUGGUGUGAAAUCUCCCGGCUCAACUGGGAGGGUGCGCUACAAACUGUCUGACCAGAGUGUGGGAUGGGUAAGUGGAAUUCCUGGUGUAGCGGUGAAAUGCGCAGAUAUCAGGAGGAACACCAAUGGCGAAGGCAGCUCGCUGGGCUCUACCUGACGCUGAGGCGCGAAAGCGUGGGGAGCGAACCGG